rnacentral:rRNA from 1 species
UGGGGAAUAUUGGACAAUGGGGGGAACCCUGAUCCAGCAAUACCGCGUGUGUGAAGAAGGCCUGCGGGUUGUAAAGCACUUUCAGUAGGGAAGAAAGGUUGUUGGUUAAUAGCUGACAGAUUUGACGUUACCUACAGAAGAAGCACCGGCUAACUCCGUGCCAGCAGCCGCGGUAAUACGGAGGGUGCAAGCGUUAAUCGGAAUUACUGGGCGUAAAGCGCGCGUAGGCGGCUUGAUCAGUCAGAUGUGAAAUCCCCGGGCUUAACCUGGGAACUGCACUUGAUACUGUCGGGCUAGAGUAUGUUAGAGGAAAGCGGAAUUCCGGGUGUAGCGGUGAAAUGCGUAGAUAUCCGGAGGAACAUCAGUGGCGAAGGCGGCUUUCUGGAACAAUACUGACGCUGAGGUGCGAAAGCGUGGGGAGCAAACA